AUUGAACGCUGGCGGCAGGCCUAACACAUGCAAGUCGAGCGGAUGAAGGGAGCUUGCUCCUGGAUUCAGCGGCGGACGGGUGAGUAAUGCCUAGGAAUCUGCCUGGUAGUGGGGGAUAACGUCCGGAAACGGGCGCUAAUACCGCAUACGUCCUGAGGGAGAAAGUGGGGGAUCUUCGGACCUCACGCUAUCAGAUGAGCCUAGGUCGGAUUAGCUAGUUGGUGGGGUAAAGGCCUACCAAGGCGACGAUCCGUAACUGGUCUGAGAGGAUGAUCAGUCACACUGGAACUGAGACACGGUCCAGACUCCUACGGGGGGCAGCAGUGGGGAAUAUUGGACAAUGGGCGAAAGCCUGAUCCAGCCAUGCCGCGUGUGUGAAGAAGGUCUUGGGAUUGUAAAGCACUUUAAGUUGGGAGGAAGGGCAGUAAGUUAAUACCUUGCUGUUUUGACGUUACCAACAGAAUAAGCACCGGCUAACUUCGUG
rnacentral:rRNA from 1 species